GAGAAAGACUUGUUUUGCCAAAAACGUGAGAAAGCGCUAUUUGGUGGAAAAUAGUCAAAGCUUCUCACACAAGCUAAAGCAACAAAAAAAUAUUUCACAUAGAAUAAAUCCCAGCCGUCGAUCCCAUCCAAUGGUCCACAAUAAAACUAGACAAGCACAAUCUAUGUGAAUGACACAAAUAGCACUUAAAUCUAAUGGAGUUAAGAGAACCAUAUUCUCA
rnacentral:lncRNA from 1 species